rnacentral:rRNA from 1 species
UACGUAGGGGGCAAGCGUUGUUCGGAAUUACUGGGCGUAAAGGGCGCGUAGGCGGCAUGGCAAGUCGGGAGUGGAAGGCCUGGGCUCAACCGAGGAACUGCUUUCGAGACUGCCAAGCUAGAGUGCGGAAGGGGCAUCUGGAAUUCCCAGUGUAGCGGUGAAAUGCGUAGAUAUUGGGAAGAACCCCUGAGGCGAAGGCGGGAUGCUGGGCCGACACUGACGCUGAGGCGCGAAAGCCAGGGGAGCAAACGGG